GUUUCUCCAACAUGACUCUCAACAAUGGAGGAAGAGCAAUACAAUUUCAGAAGGUGACCAUGCUGUUGUGUUACAGGUGAUCAACAGUUUGAACUGCUUGGCGUCCAUGUUAUACUGAAGAUCGUGGGAAUCAUAAUGCUCAUCAGUGUGUUGGUCAUCUUUGAGUGCUGGUUUCGAUUAAGACACUCCACCAAACCAAUGAAGGAUGCAGUAGUGGCACACUAUGCCAACACAGUGACUGAGUUGUCAGUACAGUCACACUAUGCCAACACAGUGACUGAGUUGUCAACAUGAGUCACAAGGAGAGGAGGAAGAUGUGGUGUGUAACAGGAACGACAUGCUGUAUCUUCUCUUCUGUAUUCAUCUCUCAGUCUGAAGUUUCUUCUUGUUAGUUUUCUCCCGGCCUGUAAAUACUUAAUGUUACUACUUGCUUUAAACAUGACCCCAGACUUGUGUGAAUAUUAUUUUUAUGUGAUGUUUUUUCUUCUGUUUCUUUGUUAAAGUGAGUAUAACUCAAAAGCAAAAACAUGUUUAAUUAUUUUUUCUUAUGUUGAACUGAUUUACAGAGGUGUAUAGUAACGAAGUAGAUGUACUUCGUGACACUACUGAAGUAGUUUUUUUGAGGAUCUGUACUUUACUUGAGUUUUUUUUUUAAUCAAGACUUUAACAAUUAACGUUGAUGAGGAAGACAUAGAAGACGUUACCAAACUGACAACAUCUCCUUCGGUAGAAGACGACAGUCACCCACCGUGGUCAUACCUGGCAACAAUGUUUGGCUACCUUGGGAUGGGUGAAAAUCCUAAAACAUAAAAAGUGAUGUGCAACCAGUCUGCAGUGAUGGUGCUGUGUGUAGUGAGAAUGUAUUUUUUAAGUUGUAUUCUUAACCAAACACAAGGCACCUAAUUUAGUUGUGGUUCUCUGAGGCAGAUAGAAGGCAUUUUUUUGCGGUCUUAGGCAGACAGACGCUUUAUUUAUAGUUAUGUUCUCAGGCAGACACGAGAC
rnacentral:lncRNA from 15 species